rnacentral:rRNA from 1 species
AUUGAACGCUGGCGGCAUGCCUUACACAUGCAAGUCGAACGGCAGCACGGGAGCAAUCCUGGUGGCGAGUGGCGAACGGGUGAGUAAUAUAUCGGAACGUGCCCAGUCGUGGGGGAUAACGUAGCGAAAGCUACGCUAAUACCGCAUACGAUCUAUGGAUGAAAGCGGGGGAUCGCAAGACCUCGCGCGAUUGGAGCGGCCGAUAUCAGAUUAGGUAGUUGGUGGGGUAAAGGCUCACCAAGCCGACGAUCUGUAGCUGGGCUGAGAGGACGACCAGCCAACCUGGGAAUGCGGCACGGGCCAGAAUCCUACGGGAGGCAGCAGUGGGGAGUUUUGGACAAUGGGCGCAAGCCUGAUCCAGCAAUGCCGCGUGCAGGAUGAAGGCCUUCGGGUUGUAAACUGCUUUUGUACGGAGCGAAAAGGCUCUCUCUAAUACAGGGGGCUCAUGACGGUACCGUAAGAAUAAGCACCGGCUAACUACGUGCCAGCCGCCGCCGUAAUAC